GUAGAAUACAGGUGAUCGAUAGUGUAACAUCGUGCAUUUUCAUAUGCACAUUUAGAUGCAUUAAAGCUUAAUUAUUUUGGCAAAUUAAUGGUUAGGCAAUACAUAGAGAUAAAAGCAGUUCAGAGCACCACUGCACCUGGGAAAGGACAUAGAGAGUGUGUAGAGAGUGUGUUACCAGAAUUGUAUGUGGGCUGUGGAUCCCAUAGAUCCAAGCGACGUUUGAGCGUUUUGAGGUUAGAAAUCUCUAUAUCCACAUGUCGUAUAAUAGACUGGUUCUACGAGAAUAUUUCGUGUCAAUUUAUUAUAUAAA
rnacentral:lncRNA from 1 species